rnacentral:rRNA from 1 species
AACGAACGCUGGCGGCAUGCCUAACACAUGCAAGUCGAACGAUCCCUUCGGGGAUAGUGGCGCACGGGUGCGUAACGCGUGGGAACCUGCCCUUAGGUUCGGAAUAACUCAGAGAAAUUUGAGCUAAUACCGGAUAAUGUCUUCGGACCAAAGAUUUAUCGCCUUUGGAUGGGCCCGCGUUGGAUUAGCUAGUUGGUGGGGUAAAGGCCUACCAAGGCGACGACCCAUAGCUGGUCUGAGAGGAUGAUCAGCCACACUGGGACUGAGACACGGCCCAGACUCCUACGGGAGGCAGCAGUGGGGAAUAUUGGACAAUGGGCGAAAGCCUGAUCCAGCAAUGCCGCGUGAGUGAUGAAGGCCUUAGGGUUGUAAAGCUCUUUUACCCGGGAUGAUAAUGACAGUACCGGGAGAAUAAGCCCCGGCUAACUCCGUG